rnacentral:misc_RNA from 1 species
GAGUUGAGGGUACCCGAAGUCGCUAGUCUAACCCGUAAGGGAAGGCGGUGCCGAAGGUAUGCUUGGUGAGGAGGGUGAAGUCGUAACAAGGUAGCCGUACCGGAAGGUGCGGCUGGAUCACCUCCUUUCUCAGAGAAAGGUUAUUAAAAAAUGCUUUGUAAGUUGUACACAAAGCUAAAAAAGACUUGUUUUCUCUUUUUUUCUUCUUUCCUUCUUCCUUUUUUUAUAUUGGGCCUGUAGCUCAGUUGGUUAGAGCACU